rnacentral:precursor_RNA from 1 species
GAGCCGAUGGCACUCUGGGUACCUGAGAAGAGGUUGUCUGUGAUGAGUUCGCUUUUAUUAAUGACGAAUAUAACACAGAUGGCCUGUUUUCAGUACCGCUACCGCCCGGUGGUGUGC